rnacentral:siRNA from 1 species
AUCCUGCGUGAAAUUUCAAGAAAC